rnacentral:tRNA from 1 species
GCGCUCGUAGCUCAACUGGAUAGAGCGGCUGGCUUCGAACCAGUAGGUCGCAGGUUCAACUCCUGCCGAGCGCGCCA